rnacentral:lncRNA from 1 species
AAAACACUGACUGCUCCUUUCACGGGAAAACUACUAGAAGGUGUGUUGUGUACCAUAAAAGGGAUUGCUUACAGGUCUGUUUUCAAGUUUCCAUAUAGACUACAUACAGAGAGAUCGAUGAUAAGCCAGAGCCAUGAUGAAUAAUCAUGAUUAAAGUAUGCCUUUCAGUUUUAGCAACAAUGCUCUUUGAACCACAUCACUAUUUGUGUGAGUGCUGUCCAGUGCAUUAUGGGAAAUUUUGUGGCAUCCUCGCACUCCUCUGACUAGAUGCUAUUAGCAAACCCUUAAAAUAGUGACAAGUGAAAACAUCUGAAGACAUUGCUAUAUAUUCCUCGGGGAGAAACAUGCUCCCUUUGAGAAGUCCCAACUAGAACAUUAGUGGAUUAUAUGAUGGAGAAUAUAGAUCAUAAAAACUCAGAAUAAGUUAAAUGCAUGCACUUUGUUGAUUUACCUCCUUCCUUUUAAAUGUUGUUAUUAGACUAAGACUUUGUUAGAGCAAAUUCAGUUAAACAAAGUUGAAAUGCUCAUUGAACUUUAAAUAUAAAACCUUGACGACAUGUAUAAGUCAGAAAAACGGAUUGAAAUACAUUAUAUAUUAUUGGUUCUGAGAAUUAAUCUGCUUACAUACGUAGGGCAGAGAUUUGCAUAUUUGCCAGAUAACGAGCUGGGUUUCUGAUGGAAUAAAAUCUGUGACUGCCAAGUGCUGCACUGUGUGGAUAGUAAGGAUUUUUUAACUGUACAUAUGGAAGAAAAUGAGUGCAGAAUAUACAAGUAUUAGUUUUAUUCUUUCAGCAUUUCCUCCACAAUAAUUUUCAAAGUGCUUGCCUUAUGAAACCAUCACUCUAAAAUAAAAUGGUGCUCAGUAUAUCUUCCUAUUCCAUUUUUGGAACAUCUUUGUUACACAAGGCACCUAGGCUCACACUUGGGGCCUUUCACAGCUUCAUUUUAGAGCUGCUGGAGGAGCCAUGGAUUUGGGUUGGACUUCAAUCGCAGUAGAAACCAUGAUGCUAGAAUCAAGCUUUCAAUCUUUUCUAAAUGCCUUUCCUAUUGGCAGCUUGAAUGGCCUACUUUAUUCUUCCACAGUGGGGCCUUCCAUUAGAUAUUUGUUUUGUUGACAUGUGAAUGCUCUUUUGUCAAAGAUUAACCACACUGCCUCCACACAGGCAGGAUGGCUUUUAAGAUAGUCUUUUACUAAAUUCCUAGAGUGAGGAUGUAUGUCAGGCCAGUUGGGGGGCAAGUUUAGGUGACAGCUCAUGAUGGGUAGGCUUGGGCUCCCUCCUCACUGACCUGUUGAGAAGAUAGUCACAGACAGAAGGCAGAAGAAAGCCUGGACCAUAACACACACAGCUGAAUGUGAUUAAAGAACACUUAAUCCUGUUUUGUAUUGAAACAUUUUGGAGAAGAAAGAAAGAAGAAAGAAAGG